rnacentral:tmRNA from 1 species
GGGGCCGAUCGGUUUCGACACUGUCUUGAUGAUUGUGAGAAGCGGGCCGAGAAGGCGUGGAUGAUCUCGUAAACCAAGUCACGCAACCCAAUAGGUGCCAACAACAAACGCACCGAUUUCGCCCUCGCUGCGUAAAGCGAGCUAGAAAUCCGUUCAACUGAGCAUGCCUUCGCCUCAGACCUGAACGUCAUUUAGAAGGCUUGCCGCCGCACCAAGUGGGAGGGUGCGUCGGGACUCUUCAAACCCACUGGGCUCGUCAGCCAGGCGUCUGUCACGACGGCUGGGGCCAAGUAGAACGCUAGACAGACUACGCCCGUAGAAGUCGCAUGAAAUGAGCAGUGGACCCGGGUUCGAUUCCCGGCGGCUCCACAA